rnacentral:rRNA from 1 species
AUUGAACGCUGGCGGCAGGCCUAACACAUGCAAGUCGAGCGGUAGCACAGAGAGCUUGCUCUCGGGUGACGAGCGGCGGACGGGUGAGUAAUGUCUGGGAAACUGCCUGAUGGAGGGGGAUAACUACUGGAAACGGUAGCUAAUACCGCAUAACGUCGCAAGACCAAAGUGGGGGACCUUCGGGCCUCAUGCCAUCGGAUGUGCCCAGAUGGGAUUAGCUAGUAGGUGGGGUAACGGCUCACCUAGGCGACGAUCCCUAGCUGGUCUGAGAGGAUGACCAGCCACACUGGAACUGAGACACGGUCCAGACUCCUACGGGAGGCAGCAGUGGGGAAUAUUGCACAAUGGGCGCAAGCCUGAUGCAGCCAUGCCGCGUGUGUGAAGAAGGCCUUCGGGUUGUAAAGCACUUUCAGCGGGGAGGAAGGCGAUAAGGUUAAUAACCUUGUCGAUUGACGUUACCCGCAGAAGAAGCACCGGCUAACUCCGUGCCAGCAGCCGCGGUAAUACGGAGGGUGCAAGCGUUAAUCGGAAUUACUGGGCGUAAAGCGCACGCAGGCGGUCUGUCAAGUCGGAUGUGAAAUCCCCGGGCUCAACCUGGGAACUGCAUUCGAAACUGGCAGGCUAGAGUCUUGUAGAGGGGGGUAGAAUUCCAGGUGUAGCGGUGAAAUGCGUAGAGAUCUGGAGGAAUACCGGUGGCGAAGGCGGCCCCCUGGACAAAGACUGACGCUCAGGUGCGAAAGCGUGGGGAGCAAACAGGAUUAGAUACCCUGGUAGUCCACGCCGUAAACGAUGUCGAUUUGGAGGUUGUGCCCUUGAGGCGUGGCUUCCGGAGCUAACGCGUUAAAUCGACCGCCUGGGGAGUACGGCCGCAAGGUUAAAACUCAAAUGAAUUGACGGGGGCCCGCACAAGCGGUGGAGCAUGUGGUUUAAUUCGAUGCAACGCGAAGAACCUUACCUGGUCUUGACAUCCACAGAACUUUCCAGAGAUGGUUUGGUGCCUUCGGGAACUGUGAGACAGGUGCUGCAUGGCUGUCGUCAGCUCGUGUUGUGAAAUGUUGGGUUAAGUCCCGCAACGAGCGCAACCCUUAUCCUUUGUUGCCAGCGGUUCGGCCGGGAACUCAAAGGAGACUGCCAGUGAUAAACUGGAGGAAGGUGGGGAUGACGUCAAGUCAUCAUGGCCCUUACGACCAGGGCUACACACGUGCUACAAUGGCAUAUACAAAGAGAAGCGACCUCGCGAGAGCAAGCGGACCUCAUAAAGUAUGUCGUAGUCCGGAUUGGAGUCUGCAACUCGACUCCAUGAAGUCGGAAUCGCUAGUAAUCGUAGAUCAGAAUGCUACGGUGAAUACGUUCCCGGGCCUUGUACACACCGCCCGUCACACCAUGGGAGUGGGUUGCAAAAGAAGUAGGUAGCUUAACCUUCGGGAGGGCGCUUACCACUUUGUGAUUCAUGACUGGGGUG